rnacentral:rRNA from 1 species
CCUACGGGAGGCAGCAGUAAGGAAUAUUGGUCAAUGGUCGGGAGACUGAACCAGCCAAGCCGCGUGAGGGAUGAAGGUACAGAGUAUCGUCAACCUCUUUUGUCAGGGAACAAAGGCGGGGACGCGUCCCCGGAUGAGUGUACCUGAAGAAGAAGCAUCGGCUAACUCCGUGCCAGCAGCCGCGGUAAUACGGAGGAUGCGAGCGUUAUCCGGAUUUAUGGGGUUUAAGGGGUGCGCAGGCGGUCUGUUAAGUCAGCGGUCAAAGCCCGGGGCUCAACCGCGGCCCGCCGUGGAAACUGGCAGUCUCGAGUUGGAGAGAAGUAUGUGGAAUGCGCGGUGUAGCGGUGAAAUGCAUAGAUAUCGCGCAGAACUCCGAUUGCGAAGGCAGCAUGCCGGCUCCACACUGACGCUGAGGCACGAAAGCGUGGGUAUCGAACAGGAUUAGAUACCCGAGUAGUC